rnacentral:rRNA from 1 species
AUUGAACGCUGGCGGCAGGCCUAACACAUGCAAGUCGAGCGGAUGACGGGAGCUUGCUCCUUGAUUCAGCGGCGGACGGGUGAGUAAUGCCUAGGAAUCUGCCUGGUAGUGGGGGACAACGUUUCGAAAGGAACGCUAAUACCGCAUACGUCCUACGGGAGAAAGCAGGGGACCUUCGGGCCUUGCGCUACCAGAUGAGCCUAGGUCGGAUUAGCUAGUAGGUGAGGUAAUGGCUCACCUAGGCGACGAUCCGUAACUGGUCUGAGAGGAUGAUCAGUCACACUGGAACUGAGACACGGUCCAGACUCCUACGGGAGGCAGCAGUGAGGAAUAUUGGACAAUGGGCGCAAGCCUGAUCCAGCCAUGCCGCGUGUGUGAAGAAGGCCUUCGGGUUGUAAAGCACUUUAAGUUGGGAAGAAGGUUCCUUGGCUAAUAUCCAAGGGAAUUGACGUUACCAACAGAAUAAGCACCGGCUAAUUCCGUGCCAGCAGCCGCCGUAACAC